UUUUUUUUUUUUUUUUUGUCAAAACCCUCACAUAUCUUUCUUGUUCGUCCUAUUUUCUUAGUCAAGGAUGUGACAGUAGCCAUAGCUACUUUCAGUCGCCAAUCGCCAUGUUGAUACUGUUGCCGUCGGCUGCCACCGUUUUCCGUCACAAUAUCUUACCAAAAUUUAGCUCUCCGCUCAAUUUUUUUUUUUUUUUUGGGCGUAGAAUCUAAUUUUUGAUAUUAAUCUUUACCAAAAAAAAAAGAACAAAAGUGGAUGAAAAAAAUCUGUCACAACUAAUGUCAAAAAACACCCCAAUAUUUUUUUCUAUUAGCUAUAUGAUUUUAAAAUACACAGUACUAAUAUCGGGAUCAGAUUCUACUUGCUAGUAUUUUUUUCCAUUUUCACCCAUAUUUUUUAUUCAAAAAAAUUAAUAUAGAAAUCAGAUUCUAGGCAAGAAAAAUUGAAUAAGGAGUUAAAUUUUGGUGAAAUUUUAUGAUUGAAAGUAGUGGCAGUUGACGAUGACACCACCAUUACGGCAGCCAAAGGCAGUCAUGGUUGUUGCCACGUUUUCGACUAGGAAAUUAAGACGAAGAAGAAAGAAAUAUGAAGGACUUUUUUUUUUCUUUUUUCCUGUGAUCUUUUAAUAUCAUUCCAAAAGUUUGUGAGGCAUGAAUUGCACGUGACUUUUUCUGUCAAGAAUAUUAGUAGAUUGAGUCGAGAGAUAAAAAAUAUGUAUUUUCUUAUCUGUAAGAGACGAAAAAUCAUCAUUUCAUGUAUGAAAAAUAUGAACGGUGCACAACUAUAAUGUAAUAUACGAAGGACUAUUUGAUGAUUUUCUCACUAAAUAACCCAUAUUUUCUAGGGCAAUAUGUGAGGGUUGCACUCACAUUUUAUUUAAAUUCCACCGUUUCCCUACCUUGUAGAAUAAUACUCAAAUAUAUAGUUGGAUUCAGUUCUUGCCCGACCCUAACUUCCGUCCAUGUUGAAGCAUUCUAUGUGACGUGUAUAUAAGUGUUAGACUCUUUGCUUUGGGUUAAUAGAAUUAUUGUACCAUUCUUUGGGUCCGGAAUAGUUUAUCAUUCCCUUUUUAUCUAAUUAGAAGAAAAAUGAUCUAGUCCACAUAAAAAUAUGCGGCCACAAUGAAAUGAAAGUUAUAUUUCGCUUUGUAUUGAGUCAUUCCAGAUCAAAAUAUACAAGUCCUUUUGUAUUCGUCCCAUUAUAGUACACGAUCAAUACGGAGGCAGUUUCAUUAUAAAAUUCAGACAUUUAUUACUUACUUCCGAAUUGAGGAUACUUUUACGUUUUUAUGGAUAAAAUUCAACCGAACCAGGGUAUUUCCUAAAAGAGGAAAAAACUUUUAUGUGGUUCCCGGAUCGAAUACUGAUGGAGACACGAAACAAAAGUUUUACAAUGUUAAAUUACUCCAAUAAACGCGGCCUUGAAGGUUAUCCGAAAGCAAAGUCGGAUAAGGGAGAUGAGGUCCCAGAUUGAAGAGAAUUGGAUGAACGGUAGUGGAAGUUGAUAUUUUAAUGUGCGAGUUAAUUUUUAUGGUUAAGGAAAAAAAAGCUCUCAGUUACCGAAAUCUGCAGGAAGCUGUUUCCUUUUCCUUGGAGCAGUCCGGCCCAAGCAUCAAUGUCAAGGAAACAAACAAAACAGUCGGUCGCAAUUUUGUGAUGCAACUGUUGAGCAAAUUCAAUUGUUGGCAACCGUACUAAUUGCCAAUUGGCAAAUCAAAACAAGUUGUUCACGGCGCCGUAAUCACAUUCAGGAUAUGACAAGUACGUUUCCACUCAUAAAUGUCUAGCCACUAUAUGCACAGCAGUGUUAUUAGGGAUGAAAGUUAGGUUUGAACCGAAAUUAAUUUCACGGUUUGUUGAAUCCGAAUCAGAAUAGAUUUUUAAUCACUAAGAGCUACAAGUUCAAGUGAUCAAAAUUUUGAAUUGAAAGUGAAAUCGGCAAUUUACCGUCAUUUCAAAUCGUCUAAAACAAUAUUUGUUAUUUAAAUCUAUUUGGUCAAUUUAGAGUUGAAUAUCAAUAGUCAGCAUAUAAUACCAACAACCAAAAUCCAACUUCAACAGCCUAUUAUUCAAUUUCAUUAGUAGGAUUAUACCCGAUGACUAAUCCAAUUUCAAGACUAUUCUAAUCUAAUCAAUAAUGAGAUUUUUUCAUAAAAUUUGUAGCAUUUUUCGUUUUCCUUGCACAUGAUAAUACAAUAAAAUUUUUUGUAGAUUUUCUAUUUAUCUUAAUUCCUAAAAUGUAAUGAGUUGAUUUCAAAAUCUUGACUGUAAGCUAUAUUCUCAUCAUUUCAAAUUUUAAAUUAUUUUUAAACUCUCAAUUCCUUUUUCAUAGAUUUUCUAUUUAUUUUGAUUCCCAAAAUUUAAUGAGUCGCUUUCAAAAUCUAGAUUGUAGACUAUAUUCUCAUUAUUUCAAAACUUAAAUUAUUUCCAAACUUUCAAUUCCUUUUUUUUAAAUUGUCUAUUUAUUUUAAUUCCUAAAAUGUAAUGAAUUGAUUUCAAAAUCUUGAUUGUAGACUAUAUUCUCAUUGUUUCAAAAUUUAAAUCCUUCCCAAUCUCUCAAUUCCUUUUUUGUAGAUUUUUUAUUUAUUUUAGUUCCUAAAAUGUUCAAAAUCUUGAUUGUAGACUAUAUUCUCAUCAUUUCUAAAUUUAAAUUAUUUCAAAUCUUAACACCUUGAUGAUACACAUGACUUCAACAUUUGAGAUAACAAAAGGAGUUUUCUGAUCCACAUAUAUUUUUGGUUAUGUAUUAGACUAAUCUAAAUUACUAUUGUGAGUUCUUUUUUCUUUAUCUCCAAGAUCUACUUUGGUUUCUAUAUUUAUUAUUUGUGUUUUCCAAUUAUGAGAUUAUUUAGACAAAUGCUAGAUUUUACAUAUUACAUUUCUAUUUCUAUACAUUUUAGACUAAUAGAGAUCUCGAGUUAGAGACCUCCCAUUUAUGCUGAAAGAAAAGUACAUGAAAUAAUAAUAAUUAAAAAUGAAACAACAAUUUAAACUAUUACGAUUGAAAGAAACUUAUCCAAUUAUCAGGUUAACAAUGAAUAAUAAAUUUAGUAAAUGAAACAACAAUUAUACAUUUUUUUUUAUUUUGCUAUGGGACGGAACAUAUGCAAUUCCCAUUCAAAAUAAAAAUAUAAAAAUGUAGUCAACCAAUGGUCUAAAUUAAUUCGAUUACACAAAAAAUAGAUUGAACCUUUUACCAUUUUUAUCUAAAAAGGUUAUUUGUGAUGGAGAAUAGUAAACAACAAAAAAGAGUUUUUCACUAAAAAAAGGACAUAAUUCUUGUUUGUAUGUCAAGUGAAAUACCAAUACAAGAUUAUAAAUAGUAUUUUUUUUCUUAAGAAUUUGUGGCAAUCUUAAAGUUUACAUAUGUAAUUAGUUUUGAUAAAUUUAGGGGAUGGAAAGGGUAUAGGAAGGGGUAGGGAGAAUGAAAAAGAAUUUGUGAUAAAUUUAAUUUUUAUACAUUAUAGUGCAUUGAUGUCGCAUAUUUUUUUUAAUGAAAAUUAAAAUAUGAAAGCAAUUUUAUCGAUUUUUCUAUGUACUGUGCUUGCUUUUAUUUGGCAUACUCUGUAUAUAUCUUGAUUAAGAAGUUUACUCACCCAUAUUCACCAAUGUUCUAUUACUUAAGUUGCGUAUAUUUAAAGCAUUACAUUAUUGGUUUACAAAUAUGAGACCAUGUUGAAAAUUGUACAUGGUUAAAUGGAAGAGAAAAAAAAAACAUAACAGGAGAAUGCAACAAGCUGCAAUAUUGUACUAACAUUGUGAUUACCCUUUGAAGAAAUAAAGCUAAAAGAAGCUCAAUUUUUUUUUUUGCUUUUAUAUGGUUUAAUGCCGCUCCCCAUUUGUCAACAAAUAUAUGUUUUAACCUUUGGUUAUGGUUGAAUUUCCUAUUUAGCCUUUGGUUGUUGGUGCAGACGUUGAUAAAUUGUCUAAAUCAGCCAAAUAAGGGCAAAACUAUCCACGCAAAUAUUGGUGAAGGACGAUUUCUGUUUAAGUAAAAUGGUUGAUGGACUACAUUGACUCAUAAUAAAGUGUAUGGACUAUUUCAACUUUGUUAAAAUAGUUAGGCGAAUAAAGUGGUUCGCACUAAUAUAAAAAAAUUGGAUCAUAAUAAAGUUUAUAAACUAUAAAAAAAAAUAGUUUAGGAAUUAAAUUGGUGCUUUGCUCUUAUCAUUUCAAUCUUAUAGUUUACAUUUCGAAUUGAUUUUUUCGAUAGCAUGAAGCUCAUCGGACUUGGAAACCAAGAUGCAAUGCGAAAUCUCACACACGGUUAGUGAGUUUUACUAUUCUGAUUUUUUGAAUUCCAUUCCAAACCAAACACUACGUAAUUGUUACUAUUGAAAUCCAUCACUUUCCAUGUCGGCAACGUCAGCACUAUUACGCCUCCAGUAUUCUACUCGAUAAAUACCGUCUAACACGUAGUGCUCUAAGUUUAACACGAAAGAUAUCCAUCUUAUUUACUACUACUUCCCCCAAAAAAAAAAAAAAAAGAAAAGGAAAAAGACCGUCUCAUCCUUCCGGUCCCACAGCCACACAGAAUCACGUUUUAAACACAAAUUUCACGUUCUUAUCAGUUAUCACGCCUAUUAUAAAUCAUGACGACCCCCCUCCCUUUGUAGCGCACCCUUUCAAGCUACAUUCCCAACUCCCCACCACCUCCACUCCCUUUCUCUUCUUUACUUCUCUGUCUCUGUCUCUCCCUCUCCCUCCCCCCCCCCCUUCUUUCCAAUAUACGGGGAACUUUGCAUUUCGAUUUUUAGUGUCCACUUGAUUGCACAUGGUAGGCUUUUAUUGUCCCUGGAAGCAACUUGGAAGAUAAUGAAUAAUAGUCCGAAAGAUUGGCCCGAACCAAUAGUUCGCGUCCAAUCUUUAUCUGAAAGUGGCUUGCCAGUAAUUCCAGAUAGAUACAUCAAGCCCCCUGACCAAAGGCCCUCCUUCAGCCCCGCAACUCAAGCAUCCCAUGUUAACAUUCCAUUGAUUGAUCUGGGAGACUUGAAUGGUGACCAUGAAAAGCGUACAGCCAUAACUGAACAAAUUUUCCAGGCGAGCACGGAGUGGGGAUUUUUCCAAGUGGUGAACCAUGGGGUGUGCCCUCAGCUCAUGGACCGUGCCAGACAAGCCUGGUAUGGUUUCUUCCACCAGCCCAUGGAAGUGAAGCAAGCUUAUGCCAAUUCCCCCAAGACCUACGAAGGGUACGGUAGCCGACUGGGGCUCGAAAAAGGCGCCAUUCUUGACUGGGGUGACUAUUACUAUCUUCAUUAUCUCCCUUCCUCCUUGAAGGAUCAAAACAAGUGGCCUGCACUUCCCUCCGAUCUCAGGUACCCUACGACCCUUAGCAGCUAUAUAUAUGCUAUCCAUCAUCCAUGUAUUAAUUCCUUGAUGCCUGGCUAUAAGGAUAUGUAUAUAUAUAUAUAUAUAUAUAUAUAUAUAUAUAGCUGGUCCACUGCUUGAGGCCCUUUGUUUUAAUUGUCGAUUGGGGAAUAUACGGAUAAUCUUCUAACCGUUUCCAUGUGUGGCUUUACAUCAUGGUACGUAAGGGACGACUGUGCACGUACUUGGGACGAUUUUAUUACUGUUAGUUGUCCUGUUUGGUAUGCAACUUUGAACGCUAGACUAGGUGCUUCUUUUGAGGGUGGCCAAACGUCGCCGGCGGCUAAUUACUCUUCUAUCAUUUGUGGUAACAAGAGAAGUAGAGCUGAGUUGGCUGCUUUUCAAUAUCCAAGUGAUCCAUCCCUCCGCGUGGACGAGCGGGAGGCGGGCGUAUAUAUAUUUUAUAUAUGUGUAAAAGGAUACGCCACCCGACAGCUUCUCAUAAAUUCUUUGCAUUUGGAUCUAUCCUUGGCGAAAAUGGAGAGGGCUGUCAUAACUUUCUGUACUUGAUAACCAAUGAAAUUUGCACAACUAAGCAACAUUAGUAGGACUCCACUAAAUUGAUGUAUAUUUCGCAAUACUGACUCGUCCACAUAUCUUUACGUUUCAAACAAAAAGUUCUUGGGUGAGAGUGGUUUGUUAAUUAAUUCGGUUGAUUUUGCUGGAUGUGGAACUAGGGCAGUGAUUGAUGAAUAUUCAGCUCAAGUGGUCAAGUUUUGCGGGGCGCUGAUGAAGAUUCUAUCCCAAAACCUGGGAUUGGGAGACGAAGCUCUACAAGAUGCGUUCGGAGGAGAAAACAUCGGAGCGUGUCUAAGAGUGAAUUUCUACCCCAAGUGCCCGCAACCGGAGUUGACCCUUGGUCUCUCCUCUCACUCAGACCCUGGUGGCUUGACCGUGCUCUUGGCAGAUGAGAAUGUGGCCGGUCUUCAAGUCCGCAAGAAUGACAUGUGGACAACUGUUAAACCAGCUCCGCAUGCUUUCAUAGUCAAUAUCGGAGAUCAAAUUCAGGUACCAACUAUAUGUGUACUUGCUAUACGUUAUUACCUGUCAUGCCCAUCUUUCAUAGCAGGGGCUUCUUUUUUUAAAAAAAAAAUUUUUAAAAAUAAUAUAUAGGUCUAUUUGCCCACUUAUCAAUAUAUAUAAUCAAGUUUUAAAACUUCUAACCCUAUCUCAUUCAUUCAGAUACCACACUAGAUAUUUCUAGUUUUAUAUAUGUAUUUUUAUCAUUCAUUCCUCUUCACGUCUUUCUCACCUCCAACUGUUAGAUAUAAAAUUCAAAUCUCAUCACUAGAUCGAUGAUGACCCCAGUGACUUCUAGAACUAUGCUUGAUAAAAGCUACGUCAACAAAUCAAAAAUCUUUAUCCGCCGAUUUUCCCGUAACAAAGGCACAUGGAGGGGUCCUAGUUUUUAUGGUCUGAUGAGUGGUUUUUUUUUUUUUUGUUUUUAAAUGGAAUACGGACAUUCAUUUAUGAUUCUUUGUUUUUUAGACUUUUGUUUCAAGCCUGAAAAGAAAAUAGAACCAGGUCAAGACAGAUUUUAAACGUGCCUAAAUGAUUUUAUAAGACGUCAGAUAUGACGAACGUGGGUCCUGGUCGAGGGUCGGUGGAACGAGCUGGCGUUAAGAUUUGGGAGCUUACUGCUUUUUAUAUAUAUUUAUAUUUAUAUUAUGCGACUCCAUUCAGUUAAUUUGGAUUUUGGACUCCUAACUGGAAUUACCUGCGCGACGCGUGUAGAGAUUUCCUGAUUUCCUCUUCUACUGCUUGGAAAUUUCAAUUUGCUGCAAUUCUCUACAAGUAACUUUUCGUAGAAUUUUUUUUUUUUUCAUUCUAAAAGGAGAAAAUUGCUUGAGAUUUUUAUUUCCAUUUGGUAUUAUCGUAUACAAGCAGAAAAUCAUUCACAUACAUAAAUUAGGAAAACAAUUAUAAUGGGACCUAUAAACAUGAAGAUAAGAUUCAAGCCACAUUAUAACAUAUUCAAAAUUGCUUUUUGUUUUGCAGUCUUAAUUCAAACAGAUGCACUUAAUUUCUCUAUGCUUACGCAUACUUAACAACAAAUAUGAACCGUUACCCUACAAAACUACCCAACUUCAUCAUGAGACAUUUCAUGUAGGACCGGAUAAGUUCUUUUCCUUUCCUGAAAUAUCCUAAUUUGCUUUAGAAAGGAAAAGGUUUGACAUGUCAAACGUUGGAGUAAAAGCCUCUUUUAGACUUUUCAAUUAGAUUUUGCUUUGGAGAAAGAAACAAAAUAUCUACCCGAUACUACUAAACUAGUAGUAUGACGUAACACUUUGUUGUCUAUAUUUCAUACAUACACGCGACGGAGUCCAUGUACAUGCUCAUGCUGCUCUAUGCUGGUUUUCUGAGUUUCUAUAAAGUUUUUUUGUUCCAUUUUCUCUUUUCAAUAUUUUGUUCAUUUUUUUCAGGAUUAUAUUUCCAAAAUCUUGCUUUUCCUCUCUCUCUCUCUCUCUCCCUUUUCUGCUGGUUAAUUUUAAAUGAUCGUGAAUUCGUGAUUCUGUACAGGAGUACUAUUAGAUUUGGCCGUUCACAUUAUUAAAACUAGUGUUCAAGGUACGCAUGAAUAUAUAUGCAACUAAUAAAAGAAAUUUGUGCCAAAAUCUUUGACUAUAUUUGAAAUCAUUUUCACGAGAAUUAGUUUUAUAUUGUAAUAGUAAAUAUGUAAAAAUUCACUAAAAUAAAAUAUAUAAACAAAUAUUUUUUUUAGUAGUAAUUCAUAACUAUGCUAAUAAAAAUUAAGAUUUACUAAAGAGUUGAAAAACCACAUGAUAAGAAAUACAUAUUAGUUAGAAGAAGGAUAUAUUAGAAGUUAGAAGUGGACAGUUAUCAAGGUAGUAUAGCAAAAACAUAUAGUGACACAAAAAAUUUUACACCAAUCUUUCUCUCACCCUUUACUUUAUAUAUAGUGUAGAUGUUAAAACUAGUUAAUUAUUUUCAAGUGCACUUGAUUAGCUGUAAACAGUAAACUGUACAUAAGAAACUUAUGCAACGUGCGCCGGAACAGUGCCUGCUUGAAGAGUAUAAGCAUCAACCGUCCUGUAGUCCAAAAUCUAAAUGUAGGUUAAGAAAUUGGCUAAGUCUACCUAAGGAGUUAUUGAAAUCGAACUCCUGGGGCAAUUCACUAUUCUUUGUUGAUGGCUCUUUUCCUUAUUCCUCUCUUUAAUUUGGUAAGAAGGCAGCGGAGACUCAGGAAGGCAGAGAAGGGAUGAAACACCAACAAUUGCAUUCUUUUUCUGGUUCAAAGAAUGAACAAAGACUUUCGUCUUCUGGUUCAAGGAAGGCUCGAAACUUUGUAAGAGGAAAGAGGAAAGAAAGGGUUUGAGAGUCGAUCAAGAAUUUCAUAGCCACCUCACUAACUUCUCUACCGUAGAAACUAGCAAAAACCCUUCGGUUACUGAGUUAUAUAGUCUAUUCUCGAUGAUCACUCAUUUGAUAAUGUCUUAGAUUUGCAAAGACUUGCUUAAUUUAUUGUUACUACUAUUUCUUCAUCACUUAACGAUGUAGCAAGUACAACGCCAUGCAGGUGCUAAGCAACGCCAAGUACAAGAGCGUAGAGCAUAGAGUGAUUGUGAAUUCGGACAGAGAGCGCAUCUCGCUUGCCUUCUUCUAUAACCCAAAGAGCGAUUUGCUGAUAGAACCGGCGAAGGAGCUUGUGACGCCAGAGACUCCAGCAUUGUACCCAGCCAUGACCUUCGACCAGUACAGACUAUACAUUAGGACAAGGGGUCCUCGGGGCAAAUCACAGUUAGGGGAGUCUCAGAGUUCACCAAGAUAGCACCACCUAUUAUCCCUACUAAAUUACUAAUCAAUUAUUGCCAAAAUCAAUGUACUUUAAUUUGUAAAUCCAUUGAUAUUGAUGUAAACGCAAUGGUUUACUUGUAUAUUGAUCUUGUAAUCAGGAGGUUGGAUUAUUGGAUUUAGAUUCCCAUAUAAAAAGGAGCAAAUCCGAGAGGUGCUGUAUAGUUUAAUGCUCCUUUUAUCUGUUGUUGGAUGCGGUCCAAUGUAUCCGUGAAUUCUAUUGAUAAUUGCAUGUGUACUUGUUAUCAUUAUAGUAUGUGGUUAGAUAAGCGAAUGUUUCCCUUUACAGCGUUGAUUAAGGAAAUAAAUUGCCCGUAGUUGAAGAAUCGUGACACGUUUAAUAAUUCAGCACGAACCUAAAUGUUUAUUUUAGUGUUAGGUUCGUUUAACAAUUCUACGAUUCUGCCUAAAUGUUUAUUUUAGUGUUAGGUUUGUGCUUAAUUGUUAAACGUGUCACGAUUCUUCAACUACGGGCAAUUUAUUUCCUUAAUCAACGCUGUAAAGGGAAAACAUUCGCUUAUCUAACCACAUACUGUAAUGAUAACAAGUACACAUGCAAUUAUAAAUAGAAUAAUCUUUUCGUACGGUGCCGCCGCCACAUCAUUAUUGCCAACUCUAUUUUGCAAAUUUUCGAACUGGCGGAAUUGAAAGGUUGCAGUCCCACUGAACAAUUUUAAUGUUCAGCCCUGUCUGAUCAAUCAUUCGUCCAAGUCCUACCAUAUAACAAUGAGAAUAAUGGAGCUCUCCGUGUUAGCAAAGUUAGCGUAAUAAACUUGGAUUAAUCUUUCAGACACUCACUCAUAGUGUAUACACUUUUAACAGAGGAUGUAUGACACAUAAUUCGAAUUUGAAUUUAAAAUCCAAAUUUUACAGAUGUGUCGUGUAUCUAACCAUGAUAACGUAUAUAUAAUAUUUAUUCAAUAAACUUUAAAAAAAUUGUUGGCCAGUUUGAAGUUAAAAAUUGAUAUAGAUUUGUAGAAGGAGAGAAAAGGGAAGAUACAUUUCCUUUAUAAUCUAGUAGGAGUGCGUGAGGGUAAAUUAUUACUAAAAGAUACACUACUAUGUGUAUAUAUAUAAUGAGUAAUCCUAUUUCCUUAAAGCUUAUGUUGACAAUACUUCAUCAACAAUUUGCGCUGCUGAUGUCUUCCUCUGUGAUUGUGUCCUUUUUCUUUUCUUUUUAUUUUUUUCUAACUAUCAAAUAAUAGAUACUACAUAACAAUCAUAAAAUGUCUCAGUAAUUAGUUGAAGUCAGCAGUUUCAACCGCUAACGAUUUUUUAAGCAUAUUAUCAAGAAAAAGAAAAAAACCACAUGCAUAUUGGACAUCAGCAUUUUGUCACUAUUUUAUUUCUAUUUCGUACAAAAGUUGCUGCUUGCUUCCUUUUUUUUUUUUGGGUUCAGGAAUUGUAGUCAGAGAAUGCGCAUACAUAAUUAAUCAUUCAGGUGUCGCUAUACCUAUUCCUAGAUUCUCUUUACAAUUUUUUUAGAGUAUCCAAAGCUAGCCUGUCCAAGUCAAGUUUUAGUUUUGUUCAACAAAAGUACAACGCUUUGAGAUUUUUUUACUGUACCUAUUCCUAGAUUCUCAUUAUUUUUGUUGUCUCUGGAUUAUGGUAUUCUUGAGUCAUUUGUUUGUUGAGGUGGCAACACGUGUCAAUACCCAUCCUGAGCUUGAAGCCUGAUUUUUUUUUUUAAAAUUGUAUUAGGUAAAGGCUUGGUGAAUAAAAUCAAUGAAGAUCUUGUGAUAUGGCUUGGAAGUGACUGAUGAUAAUGUGUCACGGUUAAUUAUUUAGCGCAAGUGGCAAUCUCGGACCGGAUGAUCCGUCAACCAAUCAACCACGGGAGAAGGAAAUAGUAGUAGCACACCAGAACUGACGCAGGACACACAAAAAAUUAUCCUGCCCAAAAGGAAAAAUAAAAUAAAAAAUCAGUUGCUCUUUUUAUUUAUUUGUUUAUUUAUUUAUUUUUGCGUAAGUGAAAGAUCUCAAAUUCGGAACCUCUCACCUACAUUCUUCCCUCCUGUAUCACCCAACCCAUCUCUUUCCGCUCCUUAGGUGAGGUUAUUCAUACACUUCAAUUCUUCAUAGUUCAUAUUUGUUUCACGACGCAUAAUAGUAAUUUACGGACGCGCAGCAUACUAUAAAGUGAAAAUAAGCAUGAAUUGCACAUACAAUCUUUCAGAGUUUAUUUACCAAAAAAAUCAGUAGGAAAGUGGUGCUGAGCUUAGAAUAAAAUAGGUUACAAUUACAUAUACAUAUAUAGGUGCCAGAGGUUGUAAUCUAUAAAAUAUAUAGAUUCACAAAAUCGGAAGCCCUUAAAUACAAAAAAAAAAUAUUAGUGGAGUAAGAAAUGAUCAAGAACCGAGCAAGGCAAAUGGGGCCUCUCCUCUCCACAUCCAAGCUCCAGGAGCGAGAACAUGAACAGCUUAAAUAGUACUAAUGGCUAAUAUUGCUCAAAUGCCCAUAGCCACUAGAAUUUACAAGGCCGUCCACCAAACCUGUACACUAACACGAAGGAUAGAGACCCGACCCUACAAACUGCUGUAAGCCAGGAAAGUGGGGAAGGGGAGGGUGGAUUGGAUGGUAAGGGAAAAGGAAUUGUGGUUAGGAGAUUUUAAGUUAAAGAUCUCAUACUUGCCAAAAAAAAAAAAAAAGCCAGGAAAGUGCAGUCAAUACAUAAUAAACAGAUACCACCAGAAGAGGAACUUUCCCUAUUUGGCCUACAUCUGAUGCCAAAUUUUACUCUCACAAACACCAGUAGUCGAUUCACUACUGUCUUCUUGUCACGAAAACAGUACAAGGAACAGAAUCAAAAUGUUUUACUGAAACCCUAAUUGAAAUACCGAUGCAAGAUUAUGAUAAUUUUUUAAUGACAUUAAAUUGGUUUUAGGUUCCGACUGAACCUAGUUCAAUCAAGGUUUAACCACUAAUUUAACUAUUACAAAUGCACCGACAUUAAAGGGAUCUUGCAAAAGGGGCUAUAUAUUUCCUUCUGAAGUUUGAAACAUGAGACACGGGGCAUCUUAGACAUUCCCUAGCGUGUAAGGAACUAAUGCAGUAAUCUGACAUUUCCGAUUUAACCAUUACAUCAAAGGUUAGGUCACCAACAGAACAUCAAUUAAAUAAACCAACAGAACAGCUCCUUUUGCAAUAUUCUCUUCAGUUCAAAGAUCAACAAAAAAGACAACCAAACUACUUUGACAAGCAUUGAAGAAGACCUUAACUUCAUCCGCCUUCAGCCUUGAACUUCCCAGUCUAGGUUGGACAAAAAGGAAUACCAGACCAAUCAAAUAUGAACGGAUCUGCCGCAGAUUUUCAUGGGAUAGGUAGAAAUACAUUGGCAUGGUAGAAAGUACUUAUGUAAUCUGAAAUCUAUGUUAACUUACUUCUAUCUCUUUAGAUGCAAUACACUGCUUAUGCAUAAUACUAACAGAAACAAAUAUGGACGUUGAUCCUUAAUUACUAACUGAAAAUAUCUCAUUCACAAAGAAGAAACAUAAGCGCUAACCACAAGUUUCUUCUGAUACUUUUAAAGAGUCAGCAGCUUAAAAGCAUUUAGAUGCUGCAUCAACUUCUAAGUCAUAUCAACAGCAUCCAGUGCUUCUUCACUGCCGCUCUAGUAACUGGUCCACAUCCCAACUGCAUGUAAUCGUUGCCUAUCACCUGAAAAGAGGGAAAAAAUGGAAGUUACAUUGUUUUACAUAUUCAAGAUAUCCAUCUUGCUACCAACAAACACAAUUCACACACAUCAACUAGAACAGAUUUCUCAUGAAAGGACGUACCAACCAACAGUUUUUUUUAUUGUAAUAAGAAUGCCAUUGAUUAAGUUAUAUAACAUCAUGCAUUCAUUAAGUUAUACAACAUCUAAGAAUGUACAGAUGAACUAGAAAUUGCAAUUACAAGAUAGCAUUUUUGAAGCCUUUAAAGGAGCAUGUGUUAGAUUAUAUGGUAUAGGGAAUCACGACGGAAAUAACAAUAUAUACAUAAUGACAAAAAAUGCGAAGAUAAAUAGGAUUGGAGCAAGAACAGCAACAAUAUAGAAACACAAUCCCAACAGUAAAAAGCUAAUAUUUCAUAACAUGCUCACCUAAGCAUCAAGUUGCAUCCUCCUAAAGCAUUUUCAUCUAGUUGCUAUGGCCUACCCUUUUUGGUGCUGCAAGAAGGGCACUUAUACUGCUUUAUAUGUUCUGCUUUAGCAGGUGUAAUCUUUACACAUUUCCCAUGGAACCACCUCUCGCAGAUGUCACAGCAAAUCCAGAACUCAUCAGCAUUGUAAUUUCCUCCACAGCUUCCACAAAGAGUUUCACCAUGUUCAUCUUCAUCCUCCUCCACAUAACUUCCAUCCUGUAGCCUUGGAUUUCCUUUUGCAUGCCCAUCACUUGAUCUCUGUAUCAAAGUGUCGGCUACAAGAUUGAAGGGAACAAAGAAAGAAGAGAGAACAAAUAAAAAAGAAGUAAGAUCCUUUCACCUUUGUGCCGCUCCUAGAUUUACUCCCACUAUCAACACCAUGCUUGUCCUUUAACGGCUUCCUCUCUGUUAUGACUUCAAAGACAGUCGGGAGAUCAUUCAUCAAGCUAAAGAGACGCUUCCUGUUGAGCACAAUGAAGCUACUUUUAUUGGUGGUGCUCCAAACGAUAUUGUAUGCCUUUGCUUGUUAAGGAACAAGAAACUAAAAAGUGGCAGCAACACAUUGAAACAUAGAGACAAAUUGACCACGACAUAUUGUAACUGCAAUUUACCAGCAGAAUUUCAAAAGACAUCCAAGCACAGUCAAAAUUAGUUAUUUUGCCCAACAGACCAGCACCGAGAGCUCAGAUUUACCUGUAAGCUCCACCAUUUGAUCCCUAUGUAAUCAUCCAAAAUGGCUCUUUCUUAACAAAAUAAUAACCAAAUUUUAAUCAACAUAUCAGAUAGUCAGUGAACAUAUCAGAUAGUAUUUGGUUGUUACCACGUUUCCCAACCGGAAGUACACCAAAACCGUCAUGAACUUACAUAGGGAAUUUGAUGAAGCGAUUAUAAGGUGAUGUAAGUUAAUUGAUCAAAUUAAACUCUCUCCACUUUACCAACAUGGAAAGGAAAGGAUCAAAAGCACUAAUUAACUAAUCUGCAAUUGUACAAACAUCAGCAGAGCAUUAUUUUCUCCCUCUCAAUUUUAAACUAUUAUAUAUCAUCAUUUUUUGAAAUUUCUGAAACUAAACUGUCAUAUAUCUUCAGUUUCUUGAAAUUUCUGUCAAACUAAACAAACACCUCCGAAUUGGGAGGAGUUGAAUGCUGGGUGUAUACUUUGUGACCAUCUCUUGAUCGAUUCAGUCUCAUGAAGACUAAACUGUCAUAUAUCUUCAAUUUCUUGAAAUUUCUGCCAAACUAAACUCACCCCACCGAGUUGGGAUGGGUUGAAUGCUAACAUCUUAAAAAUGCUUCUAUCAACCAAAAGUACUUUACUAGCAAAAGCAACGCAAUCCCAAAUACAAUCUUAAUCCUCCGCAUAACUGGUAAUCUAUGCAUCUAACAAAAGAUGCUCCUCCCCAACCCCCAACCCAAAAAAAAAAAGGAACUAAAACUUUCUUUUCUACAUACAAAUACAUAAACUAUACAAAUUCUCUUGAAUAAUAGUAAUCACUUCACCAAGGCCACCAAAAAAGAACGUCCAAGUAUCCACAUGCCAAUAGACACACUUCCGGAAUUCUUAUUUCUCAAAUUUGAUCCUCUAACUUUUGCCCAAGUUUACUUUCUCUAUCCUAUCUAUCUUUCAUAGAAAUAUCUCCAGGCCUAACAAAGUGUCUUAAACCAAAAUUAGGUCCAACCAGCCAGUUUGUCAACAAUUAAGUUGUAGAUAGGUACCAAGACCCUUAACCUACUUGAAGGAAGGAAUUUGGAAGCUUUAUACAUCAUAUCAUGUAGGUAACAUGGUAUCUUUUUAUUACGAUAGCACAAGUACCAAACAAUUUCCUAACAAUGCAGACCAGAAAUCUUUAACCUUUCUUAACAUAAUUAAAGGGCGAAACUCAACACACCAAUUUUCAGGUCUCAAACUUUUUAAGACCAGAAAAUUAGCAUCCUUUAUGUGUUUUUACUCGUUUCUUUCACAAAGAAAGUGUGAACUGCAGGUUCAAGCUCACCAAAAGAUGCUACUGGGAGGAUUACUGAGAAAUUUAAAGUACCAAUAUGCGUAAUAUUUGUAUGGACAGAAAUAGAAAUAUUUUGCAAGGACCAAUCUGCAAAUGCAAUUCAUAUCCAUUAUCCGAUCCCCGCCAUCUUCCGUCGCCUAAAUUCUAAGUAGAGCAUUGAGAUCCAUGUUCAAGUCACCUCCAACUAUAAAUUUUGAGCUCUCACGGAAGGCAAAUAGAAGGACGAGCGUUAGAUAUAAUGUGACACACAUCAGGGACUGAAUAGGAGAAGGGGGGAAAAACAGCGUUGAGCAUCAGAACAGGAGCGGCUCCAAGCAUAACUUAGCACUAGCACGAUAGGGAAUGCAAUGUACCAAUACUACCUUUCGUUCCGAUUAAGACGAGCACCAAAGUAGAAAGCAACAGAGAGCAACCAAGUAUCAGUGUGCAUGGCCACCAAAGACAACCAGUCUCUGCGUUGCAUACCAUCCCUGGCGAAAUUGAUCCCUAAUGCCGGCUCGGGCACCUCCGGUGGGACUUCCUCCGCCGGUAAUGCUACCUCCCAGCUGUCGUUGGGGUAUCCAUACAAACAUAAAUUCUCUUUCUCUGAGAAAAGGGCACAAUAAUUUUACAUUUUAGAAACAAAAGUAUAAUUCAUAAUACAAAUAAAAAACCCACAAACACAAUGAAGAAAAUGGUUGCUCACCGGGAUCGCAGUCGGAGUAAAAUUGGUCAACAUCUGCGUGAGGGAAAAAAGGAAGAAGAAAAGAUUAGAAAAAUUAACAAGCCCAACACUCGUAGAACAAUUUCCUGAACAUAUACGGGUAUGAAUGAUAUAUAAAAGAGAUAGUAGUAGAAAGGGACCAGUGGUGAGGGCACGGAUGACGGCGUCACGACGAGCGGAGAAGUCCUUGAAAAUCUCUUCAACAGUUCGGGGAUUGGAAUGGGUGGCAGCCAUUGUUGUGUUCGUAUCUUGUGAGUAGCUUGGCUGAAUUAAAUUGUCUGUCUGAAAAAAGAAAAGAAAUGAGAAAUCAGGGGAUAAGAGAGUAGCAGCAGAGCAGAGCAAUAGUAGUGGGGAGAGAAAGAGCGGCACCGAUUGAGUAAGGGAGUCCAGUCGGGUUGACUUGAAUCCUUUGAGGGUUAGAAUGAUAGGAUCUGAUGUGGGUCACUGGGUCCGGUUUGCUACAGGCUAUAGCUUCUUACGGUACACAAAUGACAAAUGGGGCUGAUGGAUGGAGUAGAAAGGAAAGCUAUGGGGCAAGUUUCGGCGGGUGGGUAGGUAUUGUACAAUACAUACUUUGACUUAGUUUUCGUGUUGUUUUCUGGCGAUAGAGAUGCAUAGACCGUUCAGGAGUACGGUUUACGGAUUCAGGCAGGCAACCAGCAGCACGGAUACAUGGAUGGAUGAAGCCUUUUUCCUCUCUUUUUUUUUUUUUGGGUGCUGGGGGGCUUGGGGAAGAUUUUGGCCGGAGACCGGGGCUUUUUGGCUCGAGUUGGGGAUUUGGGAGAUGUGCCACUGCCGGGAGAGGAGGAGUUCUAUUUUGUCGUUUUCGGUUGCCAAAUUUGUCAAUAUAUCUGAUGUCAGCUAGUGGGGGCUACAGAGACUUCUUACUUGUACUUAGAAAAUCUGUCCUUUUUUUCCCCCUUUUUCCCCCGGUUUCCUUUGUUUCUAGAUUAGACGAUGGUAGAUUAUUAGUUACUAGUAUAAAUGCCCGUGCGACGCACAGUUGAUUAUAUUUUUGAAAAAAAUUACAAUCUAUGGAGGAAUUUAAAAAAAGUAAAAUAUUAUAAUCACGGACACAUGAAAGUAUAUUUAAAAAAAUGAAAAUUUGUAACAAUAGUUCAAUAUAUGAUAAAACAUCUUCAUUAUUUAUAAACUAUCACUUUGAUGAAUGUUGGAUCCUGAAAAAAAAUAGAAGUCUAUAUCGUAAAUUGAGCGACAUAAGGGUCCAAUUAAAUAUAAUUGAAUACUUAAUUUGAUAAGUAAAUGAAAUACUUCCAAACAUUUUGCCUUUGAUUUGAUAAUCUUCUACGAAGGUGUGAACAUUAUUUAUACCAAUCACCUCUGAGUACGAACGCCAGUAUUGGGGGUUUAAUUAAUUAUGUUGAUUUUUGUGAAGUUCGUACUAUAAAUGAGAAUGCACGAUUUUUGCAUGAAUUAAUGUGUUGGUCGAACAAUGCACCUCUAUUUUCCUGACAAUUAAAAGCAUACAUAAUUCAAAAUUAUAUUUUGUUUUAGACAGUUUGUAAAUAAUAUUAUAUAAAAAUAUAUACAUAUAAAUAAUGUAUACCUUUGUUUUUAAAUCUCUAAGAUAAGAAACAUCACAACGAAACAUAAAUCGUGCAUGCUUGUUUUGAAGAGUGAAGUAUAGGUUACCACUGGAAUCUCUAACUUCUAUGUUAACAUUGUAUCUGUUAAAAAAAAAUUGUGAUGUAUCAUGCAAAAAAUUAUAUUAAAAUUCAAAAUAUAUGAAAAUAAUUACCUGACAAUAAUGUCGACUACAUCAUUACAAUGUAUACACACCAUUUUUACAAUAUGAGAUUGACAUGAUUGUCCACAAUUUUUGCAUAACUCAUGGAACAUAUUAUCUAUGUUGAUACUUUGAAUGUAAGCAAGUAUCCGAAAAUAUUUAACCUAAAACGAUCCAACGAAUGUAUAGAUUACAAUUAUUAAUUCGAAACUACAUAUAGAUACUUGUUCAUUACUUAAUUAAUUGAGAGGGAUUGUACCGUAGGUAGAACUGUAUAUUCGAAUAUCGAUAUUCUCUUAGCAUUUAAUAUCAACAAUGCUUGGGACAUUGUAAAAUUGCAUGACCGCAACCACAUCACUAAUUUCUGAGCACAUUUAUCAUUCUCAAACCUGCAAAUUUUUCAAAUACAUAUUCGUAAGGGUAUGAAAUAUUAUUAAUAAUUUAAUAUUUUGAUAUUUGUAAAACUUACCAACUGUGUAGGUAUUGACCGAAAUCCAAGUAGUAAUUGACAUACAAUUUGCUUGCUCGAAUAGUAUUAAGUGACGUUCUUGCACAAUGUGUUAUAUUAUUGAUAAACUAUAAAAAUUAAAUAAAAUAAAGUGAAAAACAAAAUUGAAUUACCUUUAUAAUUUAUCACACAAAUACCAUAGGCUGGCAAAACAUUGUGUUUUGUAACAGUUUGAGGCAAGUGUUCACCAUCAUCAGUUGCAAAUUUAUCACAUAAAGUCAACCGAACUACUGUCAAACUUCAUUUAGAGAAUUUUGGUAAGUAUAAAUCAAAAUUUGCAGAAUAUAAAAUAUUAAUUGACAUACAAUUUGCUUGCUCGAAUAGUAUUAAGUGACGUUCCUGCACAAUGUGUUAUAUUAUUGAUAAACUAUAAAAAUUAAAUUAAAUAAAGUAAAAAAAAAUUGAAUUACCUUUAUAAUUUAUCACACAAAUACCAUAGGCUAGCAAAACAUUGUAUUUUGUAACAGUUUGAGGCAAGUGUUCACCAUCAUCAGUUGCAAAUUUAUCACAUAAAAUCAACCGAACUACUGUCAAACUUCAUUUAGAGAAUUUUGGUAAGUAUAAAUCAAAAUUUGCAGAAUAUAAAAUAUUUUAAAGAUAUUGAAUCUAUUAACUAACCUUUUGUCAAGUAAAAAUAUAUCACACUUAGUUUUAUCAUUGAUAGAUGUUUGAUAGUGUGAACCAACAGAUACAACUAAACCAAUUACAUCUGCAAAAGAUCAAAUAGUAUAAGUAAUACCAGUUCAAAUAUACAACUUAAAUAGAAGUAUGGUUAAUUAAGAAUGAAAUACCUAUCAAUUGCAAAUCAUUGUCCAUGUGUUGUUCUGUAUCUCUUAGUUUGACCAGAUUAAACUUGAAACGGGGUAUGGUUCCACAAUCAUCUAAAAUAUUCACUAUAUUUGUAUCGUUUCCAAAUGAUAAUUGGUACUAAUGUGGUGCAAGCCGAUAUUUAAGAUCUGCCGGAAUUACAUAUAUAUUUUGAAACCAAUAUACCUUACCUUCAUGGAGACGAUUUGCGAAAAUAUUUAUUGUAGUAGGAAGGUGGGUGAGGAGUGUUAGUUGGAGUACGGUAUGUAAGGAGUGUCAGUGGGAGUUAACUUAUUAUCUGAGGAAAACGUGGGAGUGUUAGUUGGAGUUAAUUUCUUGUUUAAGGGAAACGUGGGGGUGUAACGUACCCAUGAUUUUUUUUACGAAAUAAAUUAAAUGCAAAAUGCUAGAAAAAUGAUUAUUGUAGUAGGAAGGUGGGUGAGGAGGGUUAGUUGGAGUAAGGUAUGUAAGGAGUGUUAGUGGGAGUUAACUUCUUGUCUGAGGAAAACGUGGGAGUGUUAGUUGGAGUUAACUUCUUGUUUAAGGGAAACGUGGGGGUGUAACGUACCCAUGAUUUUUUUUACGAAAUAAAUUAAAUGCAAAAUGCUAGAAAAAUAGAGUUGAGAGUGGGAAGGUUUGUAAAUGUUUGUUGCUAAAAAUCCCUUCUCAAAUUUAUAUAGAUAUAGAUUACAUGCUCUGGUUUCCUUAUUACACUAGCACUAGUGGAAAUACCCGUGCUAUACACGGUGCUGACAUUAUUGGAAAAAAAAUAAAAUGGUGAACAAAUAAAGGUGAAAAAAUUUUACCAAUAAAAUUAAAAUAUAAUAUCUGUUUAACAAUAAUUCGAAAUAUAAUAGAAUGUAUAUAUCAUUCAAGAACUGUCUUUUUUCGGUUGUAUGAGAAUUUUUUUUAUCAUUGUAUGAGAAUUGUUAAUAAAAAAAUACAAUAGUUAAUAUAGAAUAGUAUCAAUAGAAUUUAAUACAAUUGUGUUGUAAUCAAAUGAAAAAUACGCACCAAUUGAAUUGUUAUUAGCACCCAUAGUUAAUGAAGUAAUCCCUAUAUAAAAAUAUUUUGGUACAUGUAGUAAUUGGUAAUCUAUAAAAUAAAAUAAAUUGCUAAUCUAUAAAAUUGCUAAGUUGUCUAUAAAUAGCAUCAAUAGAAUGUAAUACAAUUAUAUUGUAAUCGAACAAUUGUAAUAUAAUUGUAUUGUAUUGUAUCUAUAGUUGAUUUAGCAAGAUAGUGCAGCCAAAAAGUGUGUAUGUGAGAUGAGUAUGACGAUAUAAGAAACUGUAUAUUUAUCAUGAUCACGCAAAAUCAUUGGUGAUGUGGAUGUCUGGCGAUCUUGAGGACAGUUAGAUUUUUCAUUUCUUUGAUCUAUAAAUAAAAUAUAUAUUAAAUUAAAAAUCAAUAGUUUAUGUAUUUAUUUUAUGUGUAAAUAGUGAUACAUUGUAUGAGAACUGUUAACCAAAAAAAUACAAUAAUUAAUAUAGAAAUAGCAUCAAUAGAAUUUAAUAGAAUUGCAUUGUAAUCAAAUGAAAACAAUUACAGAGAAGUGGUUACCUGAACUAAGGAAUGCAACUUUAAAUGCUCAAAAGUGCCUUGACGAUUGCACAUAUGUCAGGGGCUUGGUGAGUUUUUUGCUCCUCUUGAAUCAUUUUUUUUUUUCUAAUUGUAAUAUAUUACUUGCAGGUGUUAAGUAGGACUUGACUCUAACCUUUCGUUUAAGUACUUUAAUCAAUGAACUAUUUAUUUCAUGAGUUGAAUUAUACUGUUGCUAGAUAGAUGAAUCACGUAGUUGUAAUUGUCAUUGUUGAUAAAGAAAAGAAAGGCUAGAAUGCAAUUUUGCCAAAAGGAUUUCUGCCGAAAUUAAAAAUUAAUCCAAUUUUAAUAAUGGGCGUAUAGUGCCUUAGUUAUUAGUAGUAUCUGAAUUGUUUUUCUUGAAUUAUAAACCAUUUUUAAUUAUUUUUUUUAAUUAUCAAAAAAUCUUUUUUUUAUUUCAUGCACGAUCAUUUUUGGAAUAAAAUUAUGAAAAUAACUAUCGUAACACCUAUUUAUGUGAUAAAUGUGCAAUAAAAAAUAAUUAAAAAAUUUCAGUAAUACAAACAGAUAAAUUUUUAUAAUAUACAAUUUAUGUUAGAAAUAGUAGAACCCUCAAUCAUGAACCUAUACCAUCCGCAAUUAUAUAAGCAAGCAAUACCUUUUUAUCUUUGCUUUACAGUGUAACAAUAAGCAAACAACCAUUCAUAAGAUUUUGUAAAAAAUUUUCAGAAAUAAUGGAUGAUCAAAAAAUCAAUGCAACAUCAUUCAUGACAAAAAACAAAGCAAAAGCAAAACAUACUUAAAAGGCAGAGGGGACUGACCUGGAAAAUUAAGCCGGCCGCAAGAAGGUUGAUUUUUGCUGGAGUCUCUGCACAUAAUAUCUUCCACUACUGCUCACAAAAGAAACAAAAUCAAUACAUUUACAAAAUCAACAGAGAAUCCAAAACAAAGAAGCAACUGAGAGAGAGGGUGAGGGAAUAAAAAAUAUGAGUUAAGAUAGUGGGAUAGUGGGAGUGAGCCACUGGCCAUUUGGUCCAGUGGUCAUCACCAUUAAAGGUGAUGCUGGAGGUCAGGGGUUCAAUCCCUGCCUCCCACAAAUUUGCCACAAUUUGUGGCGGUCUUAAUUGACCUUCAUCGAUGGAGUCUGUACUCACAUCGAACCCCUCCCCUUCCCCUUAGAUUAGGCUAGAUUAGGUUAUAAGACAUCUAUCGUUUCGAUAAAAAAAAAAGGAUAGUGGGAGUGAGAUAGUUGAAAUAUUGAUUGGUGAUAAGGUGAUAGUGAAAUUUUUUUUUUUUUUUUUGUCAAUACAGUGGGGUAUCCGGGAUUCACCCCGACUAAUUCCCACUGCACCCCAAGAGCCUCGAAGCGAUAGUGAGCAAGAUUCGACCACACGACCCAGGCCCCAACUGGGGUUGUCCCGAAACCAGCCGAUCUAUGCCCAGGGGGCGAGAUAGUGGGAAUAUUGAUUGGUGAUAAGGUGGGUUAUAACCCAUUACUUUUUUAUGUAUUAAAAUAAAUACAAAAAUCUAGAAAAAAGUAUGACAAGUUUAGAAGGUAUUGAGAGGGUUUCUACUAAAAAUCCCUUCCUGAAUACAUAUAGAUAUAGAUUCUUACUUGUGCUAUAUACACGGAUUUAUAUUUCAAUUCAAAACAAUAUUAAUAUAUAUAUUUUUAUAUAUUAUAAAAAAUUUAUAUUUCAAUUCAAAAACAAUAACAUAUACUUAUAUGUUAUAGUAUAGGAUAAAGCAUAUAAAAAAGGCAAAACAAUUCAAAGAAGUGUAUACUUAACAUGUUAAAAAAAGUUUAUUUCGUAAAUACAAAAUGAAUUUCUUAAUUCUAUUAUCUUAAAUAAGUUAAAACCAAAAUUUGUUUACCAGUUGUCUGUCAAUAUAUGAUAAUAAUUUGAGUAAAAUAAUUUAAUUUAUAAUGAUUUACAUGUUAGAGUAAUUGUAAACCUAUUUAUCAAUAUAUCAUAUUAUACUCAUAUAUCAAAAUUUUUAAUAUUAAAAAUAUAAAUUUUAACUAAUUCAUUUUCCUCAAUUUUAGAAAAUUUUUUCUCCCAUUUUGUAAUCUUAAAAUUGUUGAGUGCCUUUAAAAUAGUGUUCUUCAUAAACUUUAAUAUAAAUUAAAAAAAUCUUUGUAAGAUAUGUUUUCAAAGUUUUCAAAAUUAUUAAAAACUAUCACAUUUUUCCAUCCUCUCUGACUUGCUGAUUGAUUAUCUUUUGUUUUCUAUGACUUUCAGAUCUCUUGCCACAAAUACCAUCCUUCCUAUCAUGUCCCCAUAGUUCCCUUUUUUUUCUCUCCUCUUUUCAUCCAACUUUGUAUUAGUUUAUCUUCUUUUUUUGUCCUUUUCCACCACUCUUUAACUUCUUACUAUUCCUUUUUUCUACAUAUAGUUAGCCUCCAGCUUUCAAUCCUUGACACCCAAUAUUUCUCUAUUAUUUAUUCAAAAUAUAACUUAACAUAUGUUUAUAUUACACUAUGAUAAAGUGAAUUUGAUAGUAAAAACACUAAAUUUACUUAUUUUUCAUAUUAAUUUUGAAUUGAAUGAUUUCAAUUUUUCAAAGGAGAAAUGUUGUCAUUGAAUCUACAUUCAACCUCCAAAUUGUAAAAUUUGAAGCAAAAAAAAUUCCAUAACUUGCAAUUUGGUUUUACAAUUUUAAAAUACCCUUAUAUUUGUACUUUCAAAAUAAAUUUGAAAAGAUAAAUUUUGAAGCAGAAGAAAAUAGAAAAUCAUAACCUGCAAUUUGAUUUAAUAUUUUUACCAUAUAUUUAACUUUACCUCUCACAAUAUGAAAAGCAUAUAAAACUUAAGAUUGAUCACAAUGGUUGCAAGUGUUGACAUUUAAAAAUGCAAAUGAAAAACUAAUAAUAUCUUAUAAAACCCUAACUGCUACAAAAAAUAUAUAAAAAAGACAUAACAAUUGCAUAUUUACAUAUUCAAAAUUCUAUAUAAAAAAAAAGAAUAAGAAGUUAAAAGCAUUCUAAUUUAACUAUUUUAAAAAUCCUCUCUGCAAUACAUAUAGAUAUAGAUGCUCUGUAUGGAUUCCUCAUAUUUUGAAAAACAAGUUUUUCAUAUACAAUACUACAUUAAUAUAUAAAUAAAAAUAAUUUCAAAAACACCACAUCUAUACAAUAUAUCAAAAAUAACUCCAAAUAUAUAAAAAAUAAAAUCUACAUCAUUUUGUUCUUCCAUCUAUCAUCACUACCCACAACUGCUAUCAUCCCUUUCUUUCUCCUCUUCUCUCCCUCUCACUUCUUCAUCCCCUCCUCCCUUCCGCUUCCCUUCUCCUUUUCGGAGGGGGGAGGGGUGGAAGAGGAAAGGUGAGAAAUGGCAGAGAAAGGGGAAGGGACGAGGGGACGAAAAAAAGGGAGGAGGAAGAAGGAUGGGGAGAAGAAGGGAGAGAAUGGUAAUAGUGGUGGGUGGUGGUAGUAAUUUUUAAAAAAUACUAUAAAAAAUUUUAAACUUUAAAAAUACUCCAAAAUAUAUCUCAAAGGCAUCAUGAAAAGCAUCUACAAUAAAUUUUUUUUCAUAUACACAGUUACAGUAAAAUAUUUUAAAAAUACCCUCCAAAAACAGCUAAUCCAAACAAAGCAAUAAUAUUUUAGCAGUCAUCUCAAUUCUCAAUUCUCAUGUGUUUAACAUAGGUUUUCCUUGUCACUCAAAAACUACAUAAAGAAGAUCACCUGUGAUUUUUGUGUACUUGUACAGUGAACACCAGAGAAAUUAAUAGGAAAUUGAUCAUCAAUUAAGUAGUGUUUUUUUUUUUCUUUUUGUGGGUAUAUCUUUUUAAGUAGAGUACCAUUUGUCAAGUGUCGCAACUCACAAGCGAGGAUGAGUUCAAUGCUUAAACAAAAUUACUGCUUUCAUUUUCGACAUAUUACAUAUUUUUCAUUUAUUUGCGCAAAAGCAGAUUACUCCUUUUUUAUUUAUUUAUUUUCUCUUUAGUAUUCCUCUUUCCUGAUUAUCUACAAAAACCACUACAAUUUAAGCAUCAGCAAAAAGAUGAGAUCUUAUUAAGUAUUCUGCUACCAUUCAUGCUUGUAAACUUUUUACACUACAAACUAAGCUCAAUUUACAUAAAACAUAUUACACAGGCGAUCUGAAGCACGGAUUACUGGUCAAUCGAAACCUGCACAUAUCCCCGCCAUAACAGUUAUGCGAUCGAUUGAUGAUAAGGCCAAAUCAGGUGUCCUAGACGCUAAGGCUUCAGAUUUUAAAUGCUUAUUCACCACGAAAUAUAAUGCACAAAUCAGUUCAAUAUGAUUGUAGAAGGAAGGAAUUCUGCUGGCGUUCGUUCUUCGGGAAAAACACCUUCGCGGAGAACAAGUUUUACAGUGGAACGAGCAGUUAGGCUAUACUUCUCCUGAGCUUCUUCAAAUCCUUGGCCAAGAACGCGUUGGACCCAAUCCUCCACUUUCCUCUUGUCCCCUAAGCAUGCAGCUGCAACCAUCUGCAUCAUCACUCUGGAAUCAAUCUCCAGAGAACAUUCUGAGUGAACAACUUUCUGAAAGCACUCGCUUAUGUCCUCGAGUAUUUUCUGAGCAACUGCGUCAAAAUCAAAUGCCUUAAAAGCCACAACUGCAUCUACUUGUCCCAAGAAAUCUUCCAGCCAUGUUGUGGAGCUUUCUGGAAUUGAGUCACUGCCUGAGAUACCGUCGCAUAUUUCACCCUCUUCGGCAGGAACGUUCAAAUCUAAAUGCUGUGUAUUUGAAGCCCUAUGGGCUCUCUUUGCCAUCUCCAAACUGCCCUGUCGUUCUACAAAGCCUGUAUUACCAAUAAGCUUUCUUUUGUUCAUGAAGAUCCGGUUAGAACUGCCUUUACUGGUUCUAUCCAACAUAUCUGUGUUGUGGCUCGUCUCAUAGUCACCAAGAUCAAAUCCUAUCAACAUUUGGAUAGGCAAUCCCUUCAUUUUUGACAUGUCUUCCUCAAAAUAGCCAGCUUUUCCAGCAUUUAUGGUUUUAUCACCAUCUGCAGACUCUGAGGUUGUCAAAAAUAUGGCAUUGCCAAUGCCAAAUUCUCUUCCAUGCGAGUCUGAGAACCUACCAGUUUUCAGGGCUUUGGACAAGCUACUUUGAACAAGCAAAUCAGCUUUGUCAACAUUUUCAAGUAGCAAAACAGAAAAAGGUUUCUUGAAUAGUUUCCCAGCAAUAUAAUCAACAACGUUUUUUCCACGGUAAACAUCAGUAAGAUCACUCCACACCUGUAGAUCAAUGGUAGCAUUUGCAUGGAUCAUCUCAUCUGGGAAACUUAGGUCCACAUGGAUUAGGUGUUCUCUGCUUCCAUGCAAUAUUUCAGAGAGCGCAAUGGCAAGUUCCUUCUGGGCUAACCUAUCUGGUCCAACAAAAUUAAGCCAUAUAUCUCCACAGUUUUCCCUGUGGUGCCGUUCAGUGGUUGCUUUGCAACAAGCAAUUGUGUGGCUAAUAAUUUUUAGAGCUUCUUCUUGCCUACCAAUCCUUUUGGCUAGAGCUGUAUAGAGAUCCUGAUAAUCUACUCCAUCAAGUUGGCCAGUGGUAUCAGGAUGGGAGCAAGAUGAAGAUCUAGUGUUGUUGCUCCAGAUAUUUCUGCUCUCAGGAUUUGCAGACAAGGAGGAGGAGCAAUUCUGCACUAUAUCCACGCAACCACUAUUUGUAGGUUUCUCCAGUUCUGUGCUUGCAGAAGAGCUGCUGAUCCCCAAAUUCAGAUCUACAGUUAAUGAAGUAACAGAGGCUGGAGAAGCGAGGCCGUCUUGAGCAGUACAACUGGUAGAACUGAAAGGAGGACUGUGACCAUUGUCCUCUAUCACUUUUGAGGCGCUUUCACUUGCACUAUAUUUGGAUAGAAAGUUCACAUUUGUUGGACUGCUUAGCUUUGUUGUAGAAAAAUGCUGUACAUCCGUUGACAUGAAUGAAGCUAUAUUCUUACUAUCACUUUGAGUUGAAGAUGUACUUGCAGGGCUGCUGGGGUCAUCUUUGGCAGUCGUUUUCCCAUCUUCAGGAAUUUGAUACCCAAAGACAGACGUAAAUUGAGUUCCCAAUUGACAACUACUUGCCUUAGGAGAUGGUUGGCUACACUGAAGAGGCUGAAACAUAUUGUCUGAAUUCCUGUGCGGUCCUGCAAUUUUAGUACUCGAUAACACUCUAUCAUCUUUGGCCUGCACUGAAGAUAUGGAGACUGGUUUUCAAAUGAACAAAACUUGUGCAGUGCUAGGACUUACUAAGCAGAUUCUAGGAAUUGGGUGUGAGAAGACCUUAACUUGCUGGUAUUAAAAUUUAAAAGCUAUUAUAAUCACUGAUGAAGGACAAUAUUCUCAAGUAAUCCCAUGUUAUGCUAGGACUUAGCAGCAGAUUCCGGAAUUAGGUGUGAGAAGACAUUAGAUAGCUGGUAUUAAAAGAUAGAAGCUAUUAUAAUCACUGAUUAACGAAAUCUUCUCAAAUAAUCAUUAAAUUGUGCUUUCUUUUGCCAUUAGGUGGAUUAUGACUAUUCCUGCGCUCUGGAGGAAUAGGCAUUCACUCAGUGGAUAAACCGCACCGUUAACUGUUUAUUUGCUCCACUUUCAUCCUAGACCAUUAACCUUCAAAUAAACAAGAUCCAGUAACAGUGCUCACCUUCACAACGUCCAAGCCACUGUGUGUGGUGAAAUCAGUCAUCCGCAACCAAGAAGGUUUAUUGGAUGGACAAUGUUCUGCAACUGAAGUUGUGACCCCUCCAUUUGAAAGAACAUUAACGUCUUCAUCACACUUCUCAUUGCAGAGGUGGCAGCACGAUGCACCAUGGUCCAAGCUACGUAAUGAGACGUUCAUCUCAGAAGGUGAAGAAAAGAGACCACCAAACGGAACAAAAGACUCCAUCAAGCUGAAAGGAUAUUGCAAGUAUACAAUGUGAGAAUCAUUAGCUUAUUGCUGUCAGUAUUUGAAUUGGAGGAGCAGACUGAGAUAAAAUUCGUCACUAGCUUGGAAAUUAAAAAUAGAAAGUGACCUCGCUAUGAAACUUGAUAUUUAGACAUGUCUUAACUAAAAAACUCCAUGACUAGUAGUAAAGCAAAGUAAAUUUUCCAUGUUUCAAAACCAGUUUAAAAAAAAAAAAGAAAGAAAUGUUGAUCAAUUACUGUGCAGUAAACGAAGGAGACCUAUCUCAGCCAGAAACUGCUGUGUCAAGCUUGAGUUUCCGAAUUGAGCAGAAGUACAGUUUUACAACUAAGUACAACUCAGUGCAUCAAGAAAAAAAAGCUUUGCACAAUGUUUUUUGGAUGCACUUCAGUGAUAGACGCUAUACAGUGGAGAUCCACAAGACAGGUCCAGUCACCAGAAAUUUAAGGGAAAAUGAUCCCAGUUAAUGAACAGUACGACAACCCGGAUGGCAAAGUAGAGUUUACGUGCAGAAUUUGACUGACUGAAUACGUUUCUCAAACAAGUAGGUAGUAUCACUUGUGGAACAUCAGCUGGUCAUCAAAGAGACAGCGUCUAUGUUUUAGGUAGGCACAAACUUUCUCAAUUCACAUUGCAAUAGAACGGAAAGUCAACAUGGCAAGAAAUGAACGAAGGGAAAAGAGAAAAUCGAGUAUUGAUCCAUAAUUUCAAGUCUCAUAUAUAUUUCAAGAGGAUGGACAGUAUUUAUGUAGGAUAAAGUAGCAAUCCUCGUCUGUCACUCGUGUACUUGUCGGAAGCUACAUCCAUAUGCAGAAAACGAGUUUAACUACGAUAUAUAUAUAUAAAGAAAGUUAUGCAGAAUAUAAUAAAUAAUAAUCCUGUUCAAUUUAAAAAUUGCAAAAAACACCUCAAACAUUAAUAACUAGAAGCGAAAAAAGUUAAACGAUCACAAAGACGCCAAACGUGCUGCUUACCUGGAUCUUGGGCAUGACUCUGCCGCAGACAGUCUCAGAGUAGUAAUAGGCAAAAGCUGCAGGCCCAAAUCCUUGUCAACGCAGGGAAACAUAUUCAAAAGCUUCGAAUACGUCUCGUACCUCGCAGCCGCUCCAAUCAACCAUACUUUGUCUCCAUGAAUCUCCACCAGCCUCGUCAAUUCGCUAAUCACAAGCCUCAGAACAUCAACUGGCGCGUCCUCCUUAGCCAUUGCCCUUAAAUCACCAAAAUUCACCACCACCCCUGCUCCGACACAAUUUUCCACCAUUUUAUCAACCUCCCGAAACCUCAACUUCAAAAAACUCUCUUCACACGUGCCACUGACGAACCUCAAAAUCUCAUUCUCCAGACAAACUACGCCCACACCAAAUAGCUCCAGUGGAAGAAUACCUGAGCCCCGCCUCCUCUGCAGCGUUUCGAAGAAAGUCCUCAAAGCGUCAUAAGCACAUGCGCCAACAAGCAGAGGAUUCCUCCUCCCUUUGAUAUUAUCCCUCGGUACCAUAACUUCCGCAAUUCUCCUAACACAGUUCUCCUCUCCAUCUAAAACCCCAGAAAAACCCACAAACGGAAAGCUAAAAGCUCGACUCCCCAGCUCAUCAUCGCCGCCGCCUAAAUUACACAAAAACACGGGUGGCCCUUUGUAUUUGGGGUAUCGAAACAUCUGACGAUGAAGUGGCCUGAGUAUAGCUAGUUUAAUCUCGCAACUCCUGAACCCCGACUCCCCGAAGACUCUACUCACUACUGGGUCGUCAAGAAUGGACAGAAUCAGGUUCCGAAGCUCAACUUUCACUACAGUGAUGGAGGACGGAGAAGAAGACAACUGGUUUUGCUGCUGAUGAGGGUGAUAAAGAUGGAAAUUCUCAGGCUGCCUUCUCUGGUUAGCCUGAGACCUCUUAAUAGCGGCCAUGAGAGAGUUGGAAAUGGGAGGCUCCUGGACGGGGUUGGGGGUGGAAGGCAGGCGGUCCAAGGAAACGCCAAGGCAGAGCUCCAAAGCCUUGAAUUGAACGCGAGUGGAAUAGGCGUUGUUCCGGGUACGAGAACAAGCCUCCCGCAGAGCCGAGGAGGGACGUGAAAGGAGAGACGAGACAAGGUGGAGAGAGGUGGUUUGGGCGUGGCCACGGCGACGUGCCACGGCCACCGCCUCGUCCAGAGCUUGCUCCGCUUCUUCUGUGAAGCAUUGCCUGGCCGUGUCCACCGGCGUCGGCAUUAGCCUAAUAAGCAACAACACUAAUUAAUUAAAUACUAUUAAUUACUACUAACGUCGGCCCCCAGAGUAACUGAAAAAAGGUUGGGGAAAUGUUUUUUUUUUUUUUUUGGUUAAGAAACUUUAAAAUUUUGGUCGGAUGGAUCAUACCACUGCUUGCUUAUUAGUCUAAUAAAUAUACAAAGUACUGACUACUUUAUGAUAAUACAGAAUACUAACUACUCUAUGCCAAAUACAGAGUACAUCUUCUUUUUUUUUUUUUUUUUAAGUACUAUGUGGGUAUAUAAGAAUCGAGAGGAUUGGAUUGAGGGGGACUCCUUGAAUUAUUUAUAAAAACUUGGGGGUUGUGUGCUUGUGUUGAAAGGGUGGACAAUGUUUUGCAGGUGGAGAUACUGCUCUCUGCUCUCUGCUCUGUGCUGACUAGUGCAGUGACUGCUGCUGCUGCUGAGUGGGGGCUGUGAUGGUGGUGGGGGCUGUGAUUGUGCUUUCGUGUGUGUGGUCUCUUAGAUGGGGGCCUGGCCUAGAGGCUAGUACUACACUAAUUGUAGUUGUAGUAGAGCCCUCGGAGCAACAUUAUUUAGGAAAAGGCUAUGCAAAAAGCGAUUGGAUUUUGACAUUUUUGUUCUCGAAUCUCAGUUCUGGUGCUUGUAAUCCUCCUGCACACCCACUUUUUCUGUAGGGAUCAGUGAAAAAACAGAAACCCGCAUUUUAAAACUGAUCUUGUUGCGGGUGCAAUUACAAAAUCUCACGUAUGUUAUGUCUUUUGAGUUCCAACUACGUAUACUUCUUGAUAGUGUAUUGCUUAUCACAAACUACAAGCUGACCCUUUGUAGGGGUUGCUUCAUGAUUUUGAGAUUAACUAAAAUUUCAAUAUAUAUUUCGCCUGCGCCUGCGCCUGACUUCUAAUUCUUGAAACAACUUUAACCAUUGUACGUACUGCUUUUUGAACGUCUGUCAAGUGUCGAUAUAUAUGCAUUACAAUGCGGGAAUUGAUUUGAUCCCUGCUACUUCUCCGUCCAUAUUCGGCCAUUUUUUUUUAUUUUUUUAUCGUUAAAGGAUUCCUAAACUUGCGAUUCUCUUGUUGAUGAAUGAUAAUAACAACAUGCUUGCCAAGCUCGAUGUUGAAUAACUCGUCCCAAAGCAUUAUUACGUACGCAGCUCCUUCCUUAAUUAUUCCUUCAAGUUCGUUUUCAAUUGUUUAAGUCGGUAAAAUUUACUUACUGUUUGUCUUAUAUAGUACUAUAAAAAAGAAGCAGGUACUUGCUAAGAACACUUUUUAUUGUGAAAAAAAAAGAAAAACCACUUCCAGUUAUUGCGCAUAAUAAUAGAGUACUGUAAUCACAAGUACCAUAUUUUCAGCUUUUGUGGGGAUCCAUAAUGCUCUCUUCCCAGUAGUCUCCAAAUUUCCCUGAGUUGAUGGAUGAAUGAAUCAUGAAAGAAAGGUUGAAACAGAGUGAAGAGGUGUAAGAAGAAGGACAAGGAAAGGGAAGGAAAUGGGCACUGAGGACUGGGGAGGGGAGAGAACAGAGAGAGAUGCCAAGUCCACUUACCUGGGAGAGAGGUGGGGGCCAUUUCUUCCCUUUGACGUCACUUUCUUCUUUCUUGUCGAAACGGGUCCGUCUAUUAUUUGGAACACGAGCGGGUACUACUACUGCUACUGCUAGUUGAGAAUUGAGAAUUGAGAAUUGAGAUUGAUGAUGCAUUCAUGUCAUUCGAUCGCUGAGUUGACUCACUGGGUCACCCUUCUUGUUUCACCUUUAUUCUCCUUAUUUUACCCCAUGCGCUACACGACAAAAUCUCGACACUUCAGCUAAGCCUACUGGGAGUCUAGUGGAGUUAAAGCGUCGUCCCAGUUCCCAUGCACUCGGACUUGGCUCCUCUCUCUAUAUUUUACGCAUAUCACGUUACCAUAACUACAGAGUAUUUCUACGAAAUAAUCUACAGUUCAAACUGGCUCUCAAACGUUCAACUACACGUCUUUCUUUGGUUUUGUCGGUCUUUCACAUGAUGGUAUAGCGCCAAUCCAUUGACAAAUAGACGAUGAUAGAGCGUCGCUGUCUAAGCUAAUACGUCCAUCAUCAGGAAAUGAUCCUCGUGAAUGAAUCAGCUACAUCAGUCUUUGCUAUUCUAAGUUUCGCUGUUUAACAAGUCCUGUAUUUCCUUGAAUAUGAUAUGGCAUUCUGGAUGCGCUACUGCUGCUGCCGCCCAAAGAUCUUCUUGUGGGUCUUUAUUCUCUGAUCUCUCGUCUGAAGGGCUGCGGGCGGUAACUUCUUGAAGAAAGGUUGAACUGAGUCCAUGAUCAAGGGACGUUCCUCGAAUUAGGUGAUCGAUUCGCGUGAACUCGUGACUCAAUGCAUGACGCGGACUUUCCACUUUCCAGUCACUGUGCAUUUAAGAGGUCCCUUCAAAUUGUAAAGGUUGAAUGCGACGGGGGUGGAACUAAGUGAGUGAAUCAGGCGUCCAACUCCGGAGCCGCACCACACACGUAUCAUUCAUCAUCAUCACUUGCGAUUGUGAAAAGCUGAAACCUUUUUCCUUUUUCCUUUUUUUUUUAAAUUUUUUUUCAGAGUUUAGAUGCGUCAUCCCAUGGUACCGGAGGACUAUUAUCUUAGGCGAUCCCUCCCUUACUCAACAAGCAUUCUGUUCCGCAAGUGAUCUUACACUUUGUUUGGAUAGGACAGAGUAUUAUUUGAAAUGCAGUAUUCUUUAAAAUAAUUAUUAUAAUAUUUUUUAUGAUGUGUUGUGUAUGAGAUUAAAAAGUAUUAAUUAAAAAUAUAAAAAAUAUAAUUAAAAAACGUAUUUAUAAUGCAAGUAAAAUGACAUUUGAAAAAAGUUUUGAUAUUCAAACAUAUCGAGUUGGACAAUUUGUAUAAGUAUGUAAUUAAACCCCUCUUGACUCUUGACGCAUACACCAUAUAAUCCAACAAAUUUUUAUGUACAGACACAAUAAAAACAUUCUGCAUUAAUUGCCAGUACAUUUUUUUUUAUAAUUUCUUGAAAUAACAAUUUAAUUAUACAAUUGGAGUGUUUAAACAGUGGAUUAAUUGUCACUUUUUUUUUAAUUACAUCAUUAACAUAUUUUCUAAUCACUUUUUAUCUUAUAUAUAUAUCAUAUUAAAAUAUGUCAUAAUAUUUUUUUAAAAAAUAAUUAUCUCAAAUAACCUACUAUAUCCACGUGUGCUCGCUAGUGCCAAGAGGCGGAGAGCGAGAACUAUUUACCCUAGCAAAAAAAAAAGGCAUUGGAUUUGACGUGUCGGUUUGGUUUCCACAAUCUCUUUCUGUUCACUUUUGUAUUCCUCUCAGCUGCUUUUUCAGUUUUCACUCUUCGUACCAAGCAGUUAAAUCCCACUCUCUCUUUGUCCUCACGAUGGGCAAACCAAGAUGGAAUUUCCGAUACUAUUGGAAGAGCGAUGAUUAUGAAGCCCCUCUGGAAAAACGUUGACUUGAAGAGAUAUACAAUAAAUUGGUUUCCACCACUCGUAUCUCGACACUUCUCCCCUCGCAACAGAUUCUUGAUCAAAGUCUCUUUCAGCUGUGAUGAUGAUCAUUCUCCUAUUGCUGUCAAUUAUGCGUUUCAUUCAAACAGACAACGACAACGCGCUUAAGUUUUAGGUUUUAACAUCGACAGCAGUACCACAAAAGCUGAACCCAUUCGGGUUUGUGCUUUUGUACCACAGCCUAACGUGACGAAGAAAAUUCAUGUUUACCAGCGUGGCGUGGUAUAAUUUCGAAAUUGUAGCAAAUUGAGACGUUUAAAAUGUUUCCUUAGCCUCUGCUAACCUAAGGGGAUUUUGAUUUUUUUUUUUUUUUUUGCGGAGCUCUUGCAAAAUUUGUGAGGUAGCAAGUUUACACGAGUAAUAUAUUCCUUUUUGUGAUGGGAAAAUUUUUUGUUUGAAUUUUAGUUUCUUUAUUUGCAUAAUCAUCGAUAUAUUUUUUAACCGUAUUUUUAUCUCACAUAUAUCGCAUAAAAAUAUUCAAAAAGAUGUUACAGUAUUUUUUUUUCAAAAAAUUAUUCCAAAUAAUCUUCUAACCAAACACAGUAAGUAAGGUGAAUGGCAAUAAUUCAGGUGAAGACUUGACCAAAAUUUUUAAAAUUUUCUCUUCGAGUGUUAGUAGUGAUUAAAAAUAAUGAACAAUCGAGAAGACCAUCUCCCUAACUGUGAAUUCUUGAACGCCCGAUAAGGAGUUGUUUCACAUCACUUUCUCAUGGCCUCUCAAAUCCCCCAGAGGCAGGCAUGUAGAGCCCAAACAAGAAGAAUCUUCAAGUGGAAGAUCUCUUUGGGUUUAGAUUCUCUCUCACGUGUCACAACAACGAAGAGGAAGAAAAGCACCCACCACCACUGAAUGCUGGAAUUAGAAGAGGGAUAAUUUUCGAUGACUCCUCCAAGGUUUCUAAUAGUUUUACUUGCCUCCUCUCAACUUUUGAAAACCUCACACGCCUCCCGACAAAAAUAUUAUAUUAAGUAUAUAAAUUUAUAAGCUUAAAUUAAUGAGUUUUGUAUAUAGUGUAGGAGUUGACUAGGUAUAAUUAAUUAUGAAAUUUUAAGUGGAGAAUGGAACUGAUCAUCAGAAAUACAACAAAUAGGACUCUUAUAUUAGAAUAGGUCAUUCUCUUUUUCUUCUUCUCUUUUAAGAGUUUGGUCAUUCUUUGUAACCGCUGAAUUAAAUUUAAAACAUUAAGAAGAUUUUAAACUAAUAAGUAUGAGCGAUUUCCAGAAGAUUUAAUUAUUGAAUGAAUUUUAAACUUAUCUACUAAACAAAAAUAAAAUGUGAAUAAAGUCAGAGAACUUUUUGUAGCCUAUGUGUUAAUGAUGGUCAAUAGAUAGGGAUGUUACAAGUUUUUUAUUAAAAAUUUGGAAAUUGGUAUUGUUAUAUAUAAAGGUGAGUGAGUGUGAAAUAUAGUUUAGGAAAGAAAGAAAAUUUCAAGAUAAGAGGCAAAUAGCUCUAAUCUUGUGAAACUGUGUAGCAGCAUCAAACAGAGAAUCAUUUUUGCUUGUUUAAUAAUUCCUUUUUUAUAAAGUUGUACAUACAGGAUUUGUCUUUGAAGGUGAGAAAUUGUCUAGUUAAUAUCACCAAAGACUAAAAUAUAAUAGUUAUUAUGUCGCACCUCAUGUCAUCAAUGGGUCGUCACUCGGGCCUCUCCUCUCCUCUCCACUCCACUCCACAUCCAAGCUCCAGGAGCGAGAAGAACUUGAACAGCUUAAAUAGUACUAAUGGCUAAUAUUGCUCAAAUGCCCAUAGCCACUAGAAUUUACAAGGCCGUCCACCAAGCCUGUACGCUAACACACGAAGGAUACAAACUGCUGUAAGCCAGGAAAGUGGGGAAGGGGAGGGUGGAAUGGAUUGCAAGGGGGAAGGAAUUGUGAUUAGGAGAUUUUGAGUUCAAGAUCUCCCACUUACCCAAAAAAAAAAAGCCAGGAAAGUGCGGUCAAUAUAUGAUAAACAGAUACCACCAGAAGAGGAACUUUCCCUAUUUGGCCUACAUCUGAUGCCAAAUUUUACUCUCACAAACACCAGUGGUCGAUACACCACUGUCUUCUUGUCACGAGAGAAUCAAAAUGUUUUACUGAAACCCUAAUUGAAAUACCGAUGCAAGAUUAUGAUAAUUUUUUAAUGACAUAAAAUUGGUUUUAGGUUCCGACUGAACCUAGUUCAACCAAGGUUUAACCACUAAUUUAUAACUAUUACAAAUGCACCGAUAUUAAAGGGGAUCUUGCAAAAGGGGGCGCUAUAUAUUCCUUCUGAAGUUUGAAACAUGAGACACGGGGCAUCUUAGACAUUCCCUAGCGUGUAAGGAACUAAUGCAGUAAUCUGACAUUUCCGAUUUAACCAUUACAUCAAAGGUUAGGUCACCAACAGAACAUCAAUUAAAUAAACCAACAGAACAGCUCCUUUUGCAAUAUUCUCUUCAGUUCGAAGAUCAACAAAAAAGACAACCAAACUACUUUGACAAGCAUUGAAGAAGACCUUAACUUCAUCCGCCUUCAGCCUUGAACUUCCCAGUCUAGGUUGGACAAAAAGGAAUACCAGACCAGUCAAAUAUGAACGGAUCUGCCGCAGAUUUUCAUGGGAUAGGUAGAAAU
rnacentral:lncRNA from 1 species